UGUUUAUUUCACAUGUACUCAUCAUUACAUCAUAAAGCAAUUUGUUUUCCAAAAUAUUUAGAAAUAGGUUAAGCUACGCUUGUCUUGUACCACCGCAUCGGGACAAUAAACCGGAGAUUCGUGCCAGUUUUAAACCUUUUUGUGUGCUAUUUUUGGGGGCUGUCUCCUACUGAGCGGUGUCUGGUGCAAGGGAUGAUGAGGAGGCCAUUGUUAGAGGAGUGCAGUGAGCUGGUGGGAAUGUAGGGGUGCAGAAGGUCAGUAAUGUAUGAGGGCGCAAAUCCAUUGAGUGCUUUGUAGGUGCGCAUGAGCAGUUUGAAGGUGAUCCUGUUCAAUUGUCUGAUUUCAAGGAUCUGGGGUUGGAGGCUGUUGUCCUCAUCUUGAAGAAAAAUGGAGAACAAAAGUGGUGGGCAACAGGUCGUCACAGAGAAUUUGACCUUUCCUUUGCAGGGAUUUUCACUCGCGCUUCCUGCAGUUAGUCUGUGCGUAUGGUCAAGCAAAUGGGUUUUGCGAGAGAUAGCUUGAGCUGACAAUGACUACUCCUGGCAUUCCAUAAACAAGAUGUGGUAUGUGUCACGCCUGCUCCCGCUCCACGUCAUGCUUCAACCAGCCAUCAGGCUCCCGCGCCUCAGCCGGUUCGUCAGGCUCCCACAUCUCAGCGGGAUCAUCAGGCUUUCACGCCUCAACCGGAUCAUCAGGCUCCCACGCCUCAGCCGGUUCGCCAGGCUCCUGCUCUCCCUCUCUGGCGCUCGAAGGCGCCAGACUGCCUAUCAUGACGCACACCUGUCACCUUCGUCACGCGCACCUGUGCCUCAUUGGACCCACCUGAACUCCAUCAUUAUUUGAUUGCCUCCCCUUUAUCUGUCUGUGUCCUCUGUUUCAUCUUGUGUCAGCAUUGAUGUCGUUAUUUUGUCACCUGUUCAGACGCUGUUCCUGUCCUGUUUCAUGUCCGUAUUUUAUAACAUGUUCUCCCUGUACCUGCUUCCUGUCUCCAGCAUCUAGUUCUGGAGGUUAAAGACGUCUUCAAUUCUACAUUGAAUUAAAGACAAUAUGAUGGGACGCUGUCAUCUCUUUGGUGGCCUACCCAGCAUUUCAUUAUCAGUUAAGCUCAAGAGUGUGGGUUUGACAGCUUCAUUAUUGCAAUAAGUAAUCGAUGUUAAAUAGAGAUUGAUUGUUUGAAUAAUUGUCCAAGUCUCUCUCAGUAGAAUUUCCACAACAUUUCCUAAGCACAUUUUCCAUAAAUACCCAUGAUAACAAUAAUAAUACUAAUAAUCAUUAGGUGGGUGCUUAAACUUGUCCUAUCAUUCUGCACCAUGUUCUUUUAAUUGUUCAUAUGUGAAAACACAACUGGACCACAGGAGGGUCGGAGGAGCCAACCAGAUCUAGUUCUGAAGAUGAAUGUGGUGGAAAAGGUUGGUUCCCCUGCCGCUCUUUUGUGGAGGGGACCAACGUCAUCAGAUGUCUGGGGCAUGAGUUAACCAUCAAGUGACUGUUAUCUUUUGGAAACAAACAGCUGGAAGACAUACUGCAAAAGGCAGGGGACGUACAUUUUGAAAAUAGUAGGUGUAAAUGAAUGAUAUCUUUGUCUCGUUCUAUCUUGUUAUUGUUCAAUGUUCCAAUGAAAAUAUUACUUGUGAUAACUGAAUAGAUAUUGUAGGCUGCCCAACCCCUGAAAUGACUCUUAACAACUCUAUGCAAGAGGUUUCAUUGUGUAAAAAAUAAGUAAGGGAAUGUCUGCACAAUAAUAUAUAUUUGUAGAUAGAAGUUGCUCUUUUGGUAAGGGGUUAAUGUUUCCCUCUCUGAUCAUGUGUAGAAUAAUUAAGUGAUAAUGCCCUCGAAACCGGUGUUCGGAGGAUAUAUCGGCACGGGUGUUGUCAGGCCUGAGACGAAGCUGAAGGCUGGCAAACUGUGCCAGUAUAUCCUCCAACAACUGGCUUCAAGGGCAUUAUCACUUUAAUACAACGGUUUACCAAGAUAUUCAAAUAAUGAUUGAUAUAUUUUCAUUAGAAAACAUUAUUUUGAUUAAUUUAUUCAUACUAUUUCAUCCUUCCACAAGAUAUAGUCCCGACACAAAUCUAGGGUUGCUACUCAAGCUGGCUGGUCGUUCAUUCUCUGUUCGUUGGCCGGAGACACGACCGAGUUCAGUCUUUUUGUUCUGUAUCUAUGGACAUAACCCAGUCGUUCUUUCUAAAUGUUCCAUUGCCAUACUGGCUGGCAACGUUUUUAUCCCUUGGUUUCUAGCUAGCCAACAACAGCUCACUUACAGUCAGAUCUAACAGUGCAGCCAGAAUAACAACAGUGCUGAAUUUGCAUUUGUUUACUCUGUUUUCCAGUGAAUCUGUUUUUGCAUAUAUCCAUAACAAUGAGCUAAUAAGGCGCGAUUUCGCCUGGUAUAGAAAAUGUGCUCUCUCGUCAGGACACUGUUGUUCAGAGGAGCUAUACAACAAAACAACAGCUAACACAAUCACUUCAAACUGAAGAUGGAAAGACUGCAAACUAGCUCUCUUUCAAUCUACAUUUAUGUAUGUAUCCAUAAAAAUUAUGCCAGAUGAUUCAUGAUUUUGAUUGGCUGAGAAACUCUGCCUGCCUGUCUGUCUUGUCUCGACUCCCAACCAAUUCAUUACUAGGGGACAGCUGGAGAUUGAAUUUUAAUAUUGAAACAAUGUUGCAAAUGUCGCAGAGACAGACAGCAAGGUUUACACAAAUCUCUGCUGUUUAUAACUAAAUGUUAGUCUGAAAGAAAUGCGAGAUAAUGUCUAGAUGCUUUUUAUAGUGGGGAUCAAGUUCAUAAUCUACAUGGCUUGGUUGAUGAGACAGUGGAUUGCACAAUCAGAUGGAACAGAGUAAAUUGGCAUUUUAACUUCAUAGAUUUAGCCGGUUGGAACUUGUCGAAUAGACACCACCUGGAAUGCGGUUUUAAACAAUCUGCAUUCUGGAUUAGAACCACCCAUUGAACAAAGCCCUUUUUAAACCAGUUUCCCCCGGUAGCAGAUGGGAGAAUCCGAGUUCAGAUGGCCACACAGAACUCCCUUCUAUCUCAGGUCCCUCAGCCACGGGGCAGUUAAUUUCAAGUGAGGGCACCAGGCUACCAGUCUUUACAUGCGCCUGUCACCAUCAUUACGUGCAGCAGCGCUCAUUAGACUCACCUGGACUCCUUCACGUGGUAGAUUGCCCAUGUAUAUCUGUCUGUUCCUCGGUGGUGUUCCCUGUGUCCGCAUUAAUUGUUGUUAUGUGUUCCUGUCCAGACGUUGUUCCUGUUCUGUUUCAUGUCCGUCAGCUAUUAAAAUGU